CACCAUUUUGAAUCUGUCCCAAAAAGGAUAGGCAGAGUGCUGUAAUGCAGACUGGUGGUGGAUAAAUUGCUGUGUUAAAGUUUGCAAUGCCUGUUAUGUGUACCUGCCUGCGCUUCCACCUCUGCAUUUAUAAGUAAAGGGCUAUGACACAGAAAGCACCACAAAGCGACUGUACUCUUUCCUCACAGGCAAAUUGUCGCCAUAAAGAGCUGCCCCAGAAAUUUCUACUGCUUGAAGAAAUAGGGAACGUGGAAUACUUUUGUGCCAUGAUGUGUCAGAGGUGUUUUUCAGUUGGCAGAGUUAUUGCAGAAGCAAAUCAACAGGCGGUAUCCAUUUCCAGAGGGGUAUCAGGUUCCCAGCAGCAGCAUUAGUCAUGUGAGCUGGACAAGACUGUGCAUCUGACUAAAGAUGGGAGAAAGGAAGAAGACCUUCUGCUUCUCAAGAAACCCUUGCGUUCUCUCCUUUGACUGGAUGUGACAGUGGCUCUAGUUACAAAGCUUUUUCGUGGAAAGAAAGAUUGUCAUCUGUUAUAUUAGUUCCAGAUUGCAAAAUGCACUCAAGAGUCAACAAGAUCAGAG